rnacentral:rRNA from 1 species
GGACGAACGCUGGCGGCGUGCCUAAUACAUGCAAGUCGAACGGUCUUUCUAUGGAAGCUUGCUUCCACUGGGAAGAGUAGUGGCGGACGGGUGAGUAACACGUGGGUAACCUGCCCAUAAGAGGGGGGAUAACAUCCGGAAACGGGUGCUAAUACCGCAUAGUUUUCUUGAUCGCAUGGUCGAGAAAGGAAAGACGGCCUUUGUGCUGUCGCUUAUGGAUGGACCCGCGGCGUAUUAGUUAGUUGGUGAGGUAACGGCUCACCAAGACGAUGAUACGUAGCCGACCUGAGAGGGUGAUCGGCCACAUUGGGACUGAGACACGGCCCAAACUCCUACGGGAGGCAGCAGUAGGGAAUCUUCCGCAAUGGACGAAAGUCUGACGGAGCAACGCCGCGUGAGUGAAGUAAAGGUUUUCGGAUCGUAAAACUCUGUUGUCAGAGAAGAACAAGUCGGAGAGUAACUGCUCCGGCCUUGACGGUAUCUGACCAGAAAGCCACGGCUAACUACGUGCCAGCCGCAGC